GGGAGCGCGGGGCCUGCCGGAGGUCGGGCGCUUCGCCUUUAGCGCCUCUCGCUGCCUUGCACCCACCCACCCUGGCCAAGCCCCCCUUUCUUGUCCCUAAAAAGUCUAAAUUAAGAAGACGGGACGUCUCCGUGUGGUGGGAGCCGCGGGAGGUCCGGAGGAGGCGGGCGAGUACCGGCCCUUCGAAGGCUUCAGCGGAGCGUUCGGAGCCUCCCCGAUGCUCUGUCUUUGCUACCUCAGAAAACUGCUCCAGUAUUUGUAGCUCCUCAGGAGCUGGAAUUCCCCUUGUUCAGAGUAGCCAAAGAAUGACAUCGAUGAGGAAGAAACAGACCUGGAGGUUGGAGAGGUACCUGGUCUCAGAGCCACAUAGCCACCAGCUGACUUCAGCCAGCAUCUUUCCCAAGCCUUUUGCUCAGCUGUCUGGAUGCCGUGGU
rnacentral:lncRNA from 1 species